UAAUAAGCAACAAUAUGAUAAAGUAAUAAAUUAUAUUGUGUAUAUUGUAGGCAAAUUGUGAUGCAGCAAUUCUUCCACUAGCUUGUUUAAACCAGAAAUUACAUUCUACACAGAAUUAUGAAUUAGGAUAAUAACACUGGAGAACAAAUGUUUUGU